rnacentral:lncRNA from 1 species
AUACGGUCUGGAUUGCUAGCUCUGCCUAUGAGCAUCAUGGCAUUGGUCAAAGGGAAGGAGGAGGUGAUAUAUGGUGUUUUAUACAUCUUGUAUAUAUGCUUUUAAAUUGGUUUUCAAGUCUUUAUCGAGUCUUCCUAGUCCUUUUGGAGUCAUUACAGGUCUGGAGUUGCAUUGGAUGGGAGAUGGAUCAGCUGGAACAAAAGAGGCAGAAAACAAUGCAAUUUGGUGGUUUUCACGCAGAACAGUCUUGAUGACUGUUCCGGAUAGCGGAGCAACCCAAGUGACUGUUCCGAGUGAGUGUUCCAGCGGCAGAGAUUUUUUAGGAAACUACAAUCAUUACGGGAUUUGCCCUAAUUAUCUCUAUUUUCUCUCCCAGCCGCCUGUGGCUUUGAUAUAUCAUAUUUUCGGUUUCUUUUUAUCAUUCUACGCCAUUCUAGACAGAAGAAAACCAUUGGAGACUUUAGGAUUUGAGGAUUUGCUACUUUGUAAAGGGAGAAGGCUCCAUCUCUCUCGCCUAGAGAAGAUUAUCCUGAACCCUCUUUUUGUUUCUGUUAUUUUUAUGCAGUAUUAUUCAGUAUUGAUGCUUGUGUUUUCUUGUGUCAUGGCUGAGUAGUCGGCUAGCUAGUCUAGGGUUCUAGGGUGUUAAUCAUGUGAGCUAAACAUAGAUAAGUGAAUCAUAUUAUUGUCUUCAUUCAUAUCCAUCCUUACUGCUUGCAUUAAUCUGGCCGCUUAAUGCUAGAUCCUAGGUUUAACCUGUUCAUUAACCGUGUAACAGGUUGCUAGAUCUGUUAUGAAUGAGCCUAGCAUCCCUAAUCAGCGAAAGUAGAUAUUAGGGUGUUUGGUGAACCUAUCGGACUUGAUCUCUAUUGCUUGCUGUCGGGGCUUGAUCCAAACGAGAGUUUAGGUAUCAAGACCGAUCAGCAUAGGGGGCAGUUCCACGACAGUGGGCUGUUCUACUUGAGUGAUCCGAGUUCUGGACCUGUUCUUAUAGCGCUUGAAUAAUUGUUUAUCUCACAAGUAUUAGCACCUGAUGAAGUAACCCUAGGCUGGCUUCUUUUAAGUUGAAUUCACAUUUACAUUAUUUACUUGUUUUGCACGUUACCCACAAAUCAAAACCCCAUCAUUGUUUUAGCUAAGUAUUGAUCCCAUAAGGAUAAAGUGUAAUUGUUGGUCUCUGUGGAUUCGAUCCUAAAGUGCUACAUCGACAUACCAUUCGAUUGUGGUAGUGUGCACAUUAGGUUAUUUGGUGUGCGUAUACACGUAAUAUCAAAUUGGCGCCGUUGCCGGGGACCAUCUUUUUACCUUUAUUUUUCGGUUAUUUAUUUAGUCUAAGACCUCUAACUUGCCUUAUCCUUUUUGUUGCAGCUAAUCUUCCAGGUGCAUGACCAGUAGACAUACUCGGAGAAACGCACAAGGAGAGUUAGUUACAUUUACCAACCAGGAGCUAGCAAGGUUAGAAAGAACAAAUCGUCAACAGCCAAGGCAAACUGACACCACUAUGGGUGAUCACGCCAAUCAGGAUGAUCUCGCUGCGGCUAUGGCACUCAUGCAGCAGCAGAUGCUACAAAUGCAGCAGACCAUCCAAGCUCAGCAGGAUGCUGCUGAACAGGCUGCUCUCGCGCAGCAAGAACAACAGGCGCAGACUGUUCCAAUCGGGCAGAGAAACCUUCCGCGUAACAUCCCUACUACGCGCUCUGCCAUUGUUCCUCCACUCUGCACCAGGCAGGACUUCGAGAUCAAGCCUGCUUUGAUUGGUCUAGUACAGAGAAAGGUGUUCUCUGGUCUCUCUACAGAAAUUCCAAUGGAGCAUAUUGAGAGCUUCGAAAAAGUCUGCAGUUUCACUCGCGUGAAUGGUGUUCCACCAGACUACAUCACGUGCAUGUUAUUCCCAUUCUCUCUUGAUGGAAAAGCUGCACGGUGGUUGAACUCUCUCCCUACUGGCUCUCUCACUUCAUGGGAACAGGUCCGAUCAGCGUUCCUCAGUUAUUUCUACUCUAAGGCGAGAACAGCUGCAUUGAGGAACAAGAUCACCUCCUUCAAACAGCUCACUGAUGAGCCUUUCUGCGACGCAUGGGAGCGCUUCAAUGACUAUCGCAGAGAAUGUCCUCACCAUGGAUUUGAUGAUGAUUAUCUCCUGGACAUUUUCUAUGAUGGAGUGGACUGGAAAUACCAAGGUGCUCUAAACUCUGCGAGCAAUGGAGAUUUCAUGACUCAAACCACUGAUGGAGCUUUUAAGCUGAUUGAGAACAUGGCUGCUAGCUCAGCUAAUAAGAAAGAGGAGAGUGAUUGCUCCAUGAAAGGGAACAGUUCUGACGCCCAGAAAAUAGAUGAGCUGACUGCCAAGGUUGAUCAGCUACUGAAAAACAACCAAGGACACGUUUUCAACAUGGAACAACCUACGGCCGGGCAUAUUCAGAACCAGAACCAGCGACAACCGCAGAGCAAUCCGCAUGUUGUUCCAGCUAACGGGAACAGUCAACCAGAUGAGCUGAAGGGUCUGGGUAUGAUGAUGCAACAGCUGUUGCAGGGUCAGCAGGUUCAGGCCAAGGCGUUGAAUCAGGUAACCACGGAAAUAGACACCAGGAUGGGCAACAUGUUCACUGAGCUGAAUAACAAGUAUGACAAUCUUGCGAUCCAUAUAAGAAAGAUCGAUGUUCAGCUUGCUCAAACAGUUGAGAGUGUCAAGAGGCAACAAGAGACGCUUCCUGGAAGAACUGAUAAAAAUCCUAGGACUGAGCACUGUAAUGCAAUAGAGCAGCCGUUUGCUGAGACUGCUUCAGGCGCAGAAGAUAGAGCAGAGCAGUCUGCUAGCCCUGGAGUGACUGCUCCUAGCGAACCUGCUGAGACUCCCCCAUCUCGAGUCUAUGUUCCCAAGGUUCCCUAUCCAAUUCCACCUAGACAUCUGAUGGAUCCCAUUAGUGAAGAGCAGCUGAUAGGGUUUAACAAGAUGGUGAGAAGGCUUCCUAAAGAACUUGCAUUCGAAGAUGCUCUGCAGAUUCGUCCAUUGCUCCAGUUCUUUAAACACUGUAGAGAGACUCAAGAGGAGAUCAAGGUUCUCUAUAUCAAAGCACUGUCUACACCAGCAUUGAAGGUAUUGCCUAAGGUUGAUGAUCCUGGAAAGUUUGUUUUCCCAUGCUCCAUCGCAGGAACAACCUUCAAGGAUGCUCUGUGUGACUCUGGUUCUUGUGUGAAUCUCGUCUCAAAGGCUAUUGUAGACGAUUUGGGUAUUGCUGAUGUUGAGCGUUCUCAGCUGACCCUAACCUUUGCAAACUCUUCCAGAGCAGUCCCAUAUGGAACCAUCCGCAGCCUUCAUGUUCAAGUAGGGGAAUGCAUUGUUCCUGCUGAGUUUCAAGUUGUUGAGAUGAACAAGGAUCAUGAGAUGCCUUUGAUAUUUGGAAGGACAUUCAUGGCUACUGUUGGAGCAACCAUCGAUAUGCCCAACAAGAGAGUCUGCUUCUCCAACAUCAACAAGAAAGUUUUCUACAAGGCUGUACCCACCAGAUCUUCCUCAUCACACGCCUCUCGCAUCUCAGUGUUUGAUGUAGAAAAGCUGAAAGUUGUUCCAGAAAAGGAGCAUGGUGAUAAGGGUGAGAGCAGGCUGUUCUCUGAUGAAGAUCCUAGCACUGAUCCUACUAAAUUCAGAGGGAAUUCAAGGGUGAAACAGAAAGUCCAGAAGAAAAGGAUCAAGGGAGAUCCUUCAAUGACUUUGAUACCUCUCAAGUGUGAUGAGAACUCCAUUGAGUAUGAGGUAAAGUGCAAAGGUACCUCUAAACCGUUCUCUAAAGUCAGAGCUAUUCUCACACAUGAGCUGAAGGAGAAAGGGGAAGCUGCUGUGAAAGGGUUGUUGAGCAGAGUUUUGAAGCUGAACAUGUCUGAUUGUGGAGCUUGUUUUGGAACAAGCCCUCCUGCUCAACCCGACUGAUCCCAGUCACCAAGUCAAGCUAGAGACUUAAACCAAGCGCUUGGUGGGAGGCAACCCACUGGUGAGUGUCAUUAACAUUAGGAUUUUCUUUUUACUUAUUUUUGUUUUUAGUUUGUUGAGUCUCAGGUCAGAAAUCAGAAAAUUCGAGACCCUUGACUGGAGCAAGCAGCUGGCUGCUCUCAUUCCAGAGCAUCCUUUACCGGAGCAACCGCGUCUUGCUCUGUCAGGCUGCUCCGCGCCAGGUAAGUAUCUCGAACAAAAAAAAAUGUUUAUUCUUGAUUUCACCUUCUCUCUGAUUUAUUUUCACACCAGGGACGUUGUGAAGUAAGUCUGGGGGAGGGUUUUCGUCGUUUACUAACUCGUUUCUUUCUUUUGUUUUUCUUUUGGGUCAAUAUGAGUCAGUUUUUAUUGAGUCAGUCAAAACUUUGUGGAAAUUAGGACCUUAUUCUGUGUUGAUCACUGACCACCUCGUGCUUUAGUUAUCUUAUUCAGUGACCUUAGCAGUGGCGAAAGACACACAUGUGGACCUGGAACACCCUGACAUAUCUCACUUGAUUCUCCAGAAGUUCUCAGCCGAUCAGGUUACACUGGGUAGACUUAACUCCACCUUACUUGAACCUAAUCUUGACUGAAAUUCUUCUUGUUAUGGGCAUUAGAUCAGGGAAACGAGAACACACUCAGGACUUCUUAUCCUUUUUAUCCAUCUUGCUGAUCCUGAGUGGCUAGCUCAUCUUUAGCUAGUUCCCACCCUGCACCUUAGCCUUUAUUCCACCUUCAUGCAUUUGUUUUUCAGUGUCAUAUGUGCAGAUAUGUGCAAAAAGGUCGGAGAGGAAAGGAUCAACGCAGCCUCCUACUCGUUACUGCUGCAGAAAUUAUGUCAGAACGGAGAACAAGCAGAUAAGGGAGCAACCGCUUUAUAACCAAGAGCAGGGGUGGAGAGCCAGAAUGGUCGCGAAAUCAGAACCACCAGUGGCACUCAGAACGAUCAUGUGUUACCUCCUUCUUCGUCACAUCACCAUAUCAGUCUUCAAAAAAAAAAAAAAAAAAAAAAAAAAGUGAUGGAGAAGGAGAAGAAAGAAAAGAAACAUGGAGCCACUGGAAAGGUCGAGCAAGAAGUUGGUACCAAGUAUUGAAGAGUGUGUAGAGGAAAGUGGAAAGCAGAACAAUCAGUUGCCUGUUCCGUCAUCAGAACAGUCGCACCAGAUAGAGCAAAAACGAGUAGAGGCUGUGGACAUCAAUGGAUCUAUCCUCUCUUGCCAUUUUGUGUGAUAUCCUGCAUCCUCUUCAAUGAAAUGGUAGCCCCUAAACACUCUUAACUCCACCAUUAAAUAGCCUGUUCCACACCUAGACCGUCUACCCUGAAUGAUGCCUGUGAUGAGAAGCUCACGCUACUCUUAAAUGAAUGUAGGGAGUUCUGUCUCGAUAGUGUUGCUUUUUCAGGUUUGAGAUGAAGAGUAUGGAGCCGAUUUUUGAACAGCAGUCAGUGGGGUUCCGGUAAGGGUGUGUUGUCCUAGUUUUCUGCUUGUAUGGUUCAGAGAUUCGUGGUUAAAGUAUGGUUGCUGAGAAUAGGAGAGUUCCCACACUUUCAAACCUUUCUCCCUGUUCUUGAUACUUGACAUUGUUUGAGGACAAACAUGGAUCUAAGUCUGGGGGAAUUGAUAUAUGGUGUUUUAUACAUCUUGUAUAUAUGCUUUUAAAUUGGUUUUCAAGUCUUUAUCGAGUCUUCCUAGUCCUUUUGGAGUCAUUACAGGUCUGGAGUUGCAUUGGAUGGGAGAUGGAUCAGCUGGAACAAAAGAGGCAGAAAACAAUGCAAUUUGGUGGUUUUCACGCAGAACAGUCUUGAUGACUGUUCCGGAUAGCGGAGCAACCCAAGUGACUGUUCCGAGUGAGUGUUCCAGCGGCAGAGAUUUUUUAGGAAACUACAAUCAUUACGGGAUUUGCCCUAAUUAUCCCUAUUUUCUCUCCCAGCCGCCUGUGGCUUUGAUAUAUCAUAUUUUCGGUUUCUUUUUAUCAUUCUACGCCAUUCUAGACAGAAGAAAACCAUUGGAGACUUUAGGAUUUGAGGAUUUGCUACUUUGUAAAGGGAGAAGGCUCCAUCUCUCUCGCCUAGAGAAGAUUAUCCUGAACCCUCUUUUUGUUUCUGUUAUUUUUAUGCAGUAUUAUUCAGUAUUGAUGCUUGUGUUUUCUUGUGUCAUGGCUGAGUAGUCGGCUAGCUAGUCUAGGGUUCUAGGGUGUUAAUCAUGUGAGCUAAACAUAGAUAAGUGAAUCAUAUUAUUGUCUUCAUUCAUAUCCAUCCUUACUGCUUGCAUUAAUCUGGCCGCUUAAUGCUAGAUCCUAGGUUUAACCUGUUCAUUAACCGUGUAACAGGUUGCUAGAUCUGUUAUGAAUGAGCCUAGCAUCCCUAAUCAGCGAAAGUAGAUAUUAGGGUGUUUGGUGAACCUAUCGGACUUGAUCUCUAUUGCUUGCUGUCGGGGCUUGAUCCAAACGAGAGUUUAGGUAUCAAGACCGAUCAGCAUAGGGGGCAGUUCCACGACAGUGGGCUGUUCUACUUGAGUGAUCCGAGUUCUGGACCUGUUCUUAUAGCGCUUGAAUAAUUGUUUAUCUCACAAGUAUUAGCACCUGAUGAAGUAACCCUAGGCUGGCUUCUUUUAAGUUGAAUUCACAUUUACAUUAUUUACUUGUUUUGCACGUUACCCACAAAUCAAAACCCCAUCAUUGUUUUAGCUAAGUAUUGAUUCCAUAAGGAUAAAGUGUAAUUGUUGGUCUCUGUGGAUUCGAUCCUAAAGUGCUACAUCGACAUACCAUUCGAUUGUGGUAGUGUGCACAUUAGGUUAUUUGGUGUGCGUAUACACGUAAUAUCAGGAGGCGCGUGGCUAGGAGGGCAGCACGCUUGGGGAUGCAGAGAAGCUAUUAUCGCCCAGCUCCCUACCCUCUUUCAUGAUCUUUUUUAUAGGUAGAACUACUGUGAGCGGUCCGGUUCCUUCGCAAACUCUCUUCUCUUCACAUGGAGUUGUUCAUCUGCUUUCUCUUACCUCAGCAGAACACUUCUCGGACAGUCAGCAGUAUGCUGGAUAAAGCAUGCAUCCAGCAAGUCUGUCAACUUCUUCCUAAGUUCCCUUGAAAAAGCUACUAGGGCAUCACAUCUAUACUGAAAGACUACUUUACGACGACGGACGACCGCCCGUAGGGGAUUGACUGCACAAGGCCCCUGCAGAGAAAUUAAUAUCCAGCACAGAGGAGUGAUGGUCGAUUGAUAGAUUUAUAUUCGUUUGAGAAAAUUUAAAAUAAAGUAUAUGUAAAAAAAAUGUAUGAUUUAGUAUAAUAUUAUUAUUUUGUUAAAUUGUAUUGAUAAAUAAAAUAUAGAUCAAAUAAAAUGAGAGGGAUAAAAAAAGAAAAAUAAAAGAAAAAAGAAAAGAAUCAAAAGCUGAAAUUGUUUAAGGGUAGAUAUUGUAAUAUUAUAUAAAAGUAUAUUGUAUAUUCUAACCAUAGAGUUCAUAUGGUUAUUUGUUGAAUUAUAUUUUUUUUUAUGGUUAUACAUGCUAAUUUCCCUUCAUUCUUUCGGAUCUUGAUUAUUAUACUAAUCAAUUUAAAUUCUAAAGACACCUACAGUGAUAGAUUAAAAAAAACAAUGGAAGUAGCCACUCUUGUGUUUUGAAUAAAAGUG